rnacentral:lncRNA from 1 species
CCUUUUCUUUUUCUGGCCUCCUCCUACUGAUAGAUCAGGAGAGAGCAACACAGAGAGAGAACGGCGAGCGGCCACCCGGGGAGGCCGCCGCCGCCGCGUGCAUUUCCGGGAUGACGACUCCGGCGUCGUCCAGUAAUCCUCAUGCAGGUGUUCUGUUGACCUUGUUGUGACUGAUGCAAAUUUCAAAUUUACCUCAAUUUCAUACUCUAAAGUUACAACCCUCUGAUUUUUUUUACGAAAUCCAUGUGCAUAGCUCCUUCACUUCCAUCUAUCUAUAUGCAGUUUGAUCUUACUAUACUUACUGCAAGCAAAGCGAGCAAAGUACACAUCCACCACUGACACAAGUUCAUAGAUAAAAGCUAGAGUACCACUUGGCAUGGGUGGUAAGCUAUAUCAGAAACAAUGAACAAUAAAAAAAAAAGCUAGAGUAUCCAGGCAUUCAGAUUGCCUUUAUUUUUUUCACCACCUGGUUGCUGUGUUCUCUUCCAGUUCCAGCCUUCCAGGAGGCUAUAUGUAGCAAGUUCUUGACACAAGUAAACCCUAAGACAGCAGCCGGAUGGCCUUUAUUUAUCAUCACCUGGUGUACUGUCCCAGGUGGAGGAUGUACAUGCACUACUGUUCCAGGUGCAGGUUGUACAUGCGAACUGCUUCAUGCACGAUCCUGGUACACGAUGUAUGCACGACAUGAAAAUCCAGGGGCUGGUGUUCAAUGUAUGCACACAUGUCCGGCUGGAUUUUAACCAUCGUCUAUGGUUCGUCCGAAUCUUGUCGUGUGUAUAGCAUGAUUCUUGUACAUGUACUCUACUACGCAUACACACACAGCAAGCUCACUUGAUCGGCCCGACGGCCGCCACCGCCGCCGCCGCGGGCUUCGCCACCCCCCUGUAC